UACGUAGGGUGCGAGCGUUGUCCGGAAUUACUGGGCGUAAAGAGCUCGUAGGUGGUUUGUCGCGUUGUCCGUGAAAACUCACAGCUUAACUGUGGGCGUGCGGGCGAUACGGGCAGACUGGAGUACUGCAGGGGAGACUGGAAUUCCUGGUGUAGCGGUGAAAUGCGCAGAUAUCAGGAGGAACACCGGUGGCGAAGGCGGGUCUCUGGGCCGAUACUGACGCUGAGGAGCGAAAGCGUGGGGAGCGAACGGG
rnacentral:rRNA from 1 species